UGGGGAAUAUUGCGCAAUGGGGGCAACCCUGACGCAUCAACGCCGCGUGCGGGACGACGGCCUUCGGGUUGUAAACCGCUUUCAGCAGGGAAGAUAGUGACGGUACCUGCACAAGAAGCCCCGGCUAACUACGUGCCAGCAGCCGCGGUAAUACGUAGGGGGCGAGCGUUAUCCGGAUUCAUUGGGCGUAAAGCGCGCGCAGGCGGCUCUUCAAGCGGAACCUCUAACCCCGGGGCUCAACCUCGGGCCGGGUUCCGAACUGGAGGGCUCGAGUGCGGUAGAGGCAGGCGGAAUUCCCGGUGUAGCGGUGGAAUGCGCAGAUAUCGGGAAGAACACCGAUGGCGAAGGCAGCCUGCUGGGCCGGCACUGACGCUGAGGCGCGAAAGCUAGGGGAGCGAACAGG
rnacentral:rRNA from 1 species